UGCGGGAUGGAGCAGUCUGGUAGCUCGUCGGGCUCAUAACCCGAAGGUCGUUGGUUCAAAUCCAGCUCCCGCUUCCA
rnacentral:tRNA from 3 species